rnacentral:rRNA from 1 species
AUUGAACGCUGGCGGCAGGCUUAACACAUGCAAGUCGAACGAGUGGCGGACGGGUGAGUAAUGCUUGGGAAUCUGGCUUAUGGAGGGGGAUAACUACGGGAAACUGUAGCUAAUACCGCGUACCAUAGGAGGAGCCCAAGUGGGAUUAGGUAGUUGGUGAGGUAAAGGCUCACCAAGCCGACGAUCUCUAGCUGGUCUGAGAGGAUGACCGGGCACACUGGAGCUGAGACAAGGACCAGACUCCUACGGGAGGCAGCAGGGGGGAAGAUUGCGCAGUGGGGGCAACUUGCCAAAGGCAUGCCGGGUGAGUGAAGAAGUCCUUCGGUUUGUAAAGUUCUUUCGGUAGUGAGGCGUUAGCUUUAGAAGCAGCACCGGCUAACUCCGUGCUAGCAGCCGCGGUAAUAC